rnacentral:pre_miRNA from 10 species
AACCGCACGGGAUAAUCAUUUUCCCGUGCGGUCGGGUUAAGUGGACCACAGGAGAUAAUCGAUUAUCCCGUACGGUC